rnacentral:rRNA from 1 species
GACGAACGCUGGCGGCGUGCCUAAUACAUGCAAGUUGAGCGCUGAAGGUUGGUACUUGUACCAACUGGAUGAGCAGCGAACGGGUGAGUAACGCGUGGGGAAUCUGCCUUUGAGCGGGGGACAACAUUUGGAAACGAAUGCUAAUACCGCAUAAAAACUUUAAACACAAGUUUUAAGUUUGAAAGAUGCAAUUGCAUCACUCAAAGAUGAUUCCGCGUUGUAUUAGCUAGUUGGUGAGGUAAAGGCUCACCAAGGCGAUGAUACAUAGCCGACCUGAGAGGGUGAUCGGCCACAUUGGGACUGAGACACGGCCCAAACUCCUACGGGAGGCAGCAGUAGGGAAUCUUCGGCAAUGGACGAAAGUCUGACCGAGCAACGCCGCGUGAGUGAAGAAGGUUUUCGGAUCGUAAAACUCUGUUGGUAGAGAAGAACGUUGGUGAGAGUGGAAAGCUCAUCAAGUGACGGUAACUACACAGAAAGGGACGGCUAACUACGUG